rnacentral:rRNA from 1 species
CCUACGGGAGGCUGCAGUGAGGAAUAUUGGUCAAUGGACGAGAGUCUGAACCAGCCAAGUAGCGUGAAGGAUGACUGCCCUAUGGGUUGUAAACUUCUUUUAUAUGGGAAUAAAAUGUUCCACGUGUGGGAUUUUGUAUGUACCAUAUGAAUAAGGAUCGGCUAACUCCGUGCCAGCAGCCGCGGUAAUACGGAGGAUCCGAGCGUUAUCCGGAUUGAUUGGGUUUAAAGGGAGCGUAGGUGGAUUGUUAAGUCAGUUGUGAAAGUUUGCGGCUCAACCGUAAAAUUGCAGUUGAAACUGGCAGUCUUGAGUACAGUAGAGGUGGGCGGAAUUCGUGGUGUAGCGGUGAAAUGCUUAGAUAUCACGAAGAACUCCGAUUGCGAAGGCAGCUCACUGGACUGCAACUGACACUGAGGCUCGAAAGUGUGGGUAUCAAACAGGAUUAGAUACCCUUGUAGUC